UUAUAUCACAAUGCAAAUACACCAGUAAUCACAAACAACUGCUCUCUUAACUUAAAACAGAAUUUAUUUAACAAGCAGCAUCAACUGCAAUCAAUGAAACUCAAUCAAACAAAUAACUACUAUAAACUAAACUACAGCAAACAAAGUAUUUACAAGCAAACAGUGUGGCACGUGUGUGGUUGUGUGUGUGUGGUUGUGUAUGUGUGUGAGAAAGAGAGAGAGGGAUAGGAAGAAGACAAGAUGGCGGGGAAGCACCAUGUGGUUACGUCACAUGGGGCAAAAUGGUGGACAACAAAGCCGUGUGGCGUGCGUGUGUCUGUGAGAGAGAGUCAACAAGAUGUUGAGAGAGAGAAAGAGCACCAUGUGGAGCUUCGUCAGAUGUCAAAGAGGAGCUUGAGACCGUGACAAAAAAAUACAAAGCACUGAAGAAAAACACACAUGAAGGAACAUCACCAGUCAGUGCUGAUCAACCCGGCCCGUCAUCUGCACAGGUUUACCUGAUGCAGAGAAACAGCUGAGGCCUGUUUAACCACUGAGGGUCCCACAGGGAACAUUGAAAAGUCAAACGAGGCUU